rnacentral:lncRNA from 1 species
CCUCAAAGCUUUGGAAACAGUUCACAAAUUAAACAGAGCCCAGACAUUAGCUCACAAAGUGGACGUCUGCCCGAGGAGCCGGUACUCACAGUGACUGUGUGACGUCAGGUCGAGACCCCACUUCCCCCUCGGUGGAAGCUGUCGACCGCCAGUUGGGGAAGGACGCCAUGUUGGAUCCGUGGCGACGAGGCGUUCAGGGCCAACACGUUAUUUGAAGCUAACCGCUGGCAUGCUAGCUUGUAGUCACGAGAGUCCACCUUCAUGAAGAGUCUGCUUGUGACCGAGCAGCAUGUGGUCAACGACGAGUGAGUUCGCUAAUGAGCAGCGUCAGUCCACCUGUGCGGAGCACGUGGGCGUUGACAGACUCAAGUGAACAAGAUGAGACAGAUUUCUCCGCUAUUAAUGGAAAUGGACCACGGCACCAAACCUCCCGCAAGUCUGAAGAAUUUCCAAAAGGCAGCGCUAACAGGCAAAGAUCGCUUUCAUAUCUGUUGAUUUGUGUGACCACCAAGGACCUUUGUGUCAAUGUUAAUCUUAUAUAAAUAAAAUAAAAAACAAAGCUCCUCAUGUCUGGUCACUUUACGUCACUG